rnacentral:rRNA from 1 species
UUGGAGGGCAAGUCUGGUGCCAGCAGCCGCGGUAAUUCCAGCUCCAAUAGCGUAUAUUAAAGUUGUUGCAGUUAAAAAGCUCGUAGUUGAAUUUCGGGAUCAAUUAAUUGGUCGUGCCUCUGGUACGCACUGGUUUUAUUGGUUUCUCCCUUCUGACGAACCACGAUGUCAUUAAUUUGGUGUCGUGGAGAAUCAGGACUGUUACUUUGAAAAAAUUAGAGUGUUUAAAGCAGGCAUGCGCUUGAAUACAUUAGCAUGGAAUAAUGAAAUAGGACGUUCGAUCUUAUUUUGUUGGUUUCUAGGAUUGACGUAAUGAUUAAUAGGGAUAGUUGGGGGCAUUAGUAUUCAAUUGUCAGAGGUGAAAUUCUUGGAUUUAUUGAAGACUAACUACUGCGAAAGCAUUUGCCAAGGAUGUUUUCAUUAAUCAAGAACGAAAGUUAGGGGAUCGAAGACGAUCAGAUACCGUCGUAGUCUUAACUAUAAACUAUGCCGACUAGGGAUCGGAUGAUGUUAAUUUUUUAAUGACUCAUUCGGCGCCUUACGGGAAAC